rnacentral:tmRNA from 2 species
GGGGAUGACAUGGUUUCGACAGAGCCUUGAAACCCAUCAAACGCGCAUGGAGAGCGUCGUGCCUCUCUUAAAUCAAGACGACAAAACAGUAAACGCAAACGACGCUUCGUUUGAUCACGCUGUAGCGGCGUAAUCCGAUAGUGGGAAACUCCCGCCUGCGACAGCACCACUAUCGUUAUUUGGGUAGGCUGGUUGUGGUGGACCCUAAAGACCACGACGAGAUCAUUGGGAAACCUGCCGUGCAAGUGCCUAUCCAGGCGCACGGCUGGAACAACUGGAUAGGACGUGCGUAAUUCGUUUGAUGGUAGUAAAUGUUCUGGACGCGGGUUCGACUCCCGCCAUCUCCACCA